CAAUCGGCCCUUUGCAGGGCCAUCAAAUGAGUACUAAAGAGAUAGU
rfam:Aedes aegypti strain Liverpool supercont1.37 genomic scaffold, whole genome shotgun sequence.